UCCCUACGGGUGGCAGCAGUGGGGAAUAUUGGACAAUGGGCGCAAGCCUGAUCCAGCCAUGCCGCGUGAGUGACGAAGGUCUUCGGAUUGUAAAGCUCUUUUGGCGGGGACGAUAAUGACGGUACCCGCAGAAUAAGCCCCGGCUAACUUCGUGCCAGCAGCCGCGGUAAUACGAAGGGGGCUAGCGUUGUUCGGAAUUACUGGGCGUAAAGCGAACGUAGGCGGACUCUUAAGUCAGGGGUGAAAUCACGGGGCUCAACGGCGGAACUGCCUUUGAUACGGUGAGUCUCGAGACCGGAAGAGGUGAGUGGAAUUCCUGGUGUAGAGGUGAAAUUCGUAGAUAUUAGGAAGAACACCAGUGGCGAAGGCGGCUCACUGGUCCGGUUCUGACGCUGAGGUGCGAAAGCGUGGGGAGCAAACAGGAUUAGAUACCCUAGUAGUCGG
rnacentral:rRNA from 1 species